rnacentral:rRNA from 1 species
GGCCGCGAAUUCGCCCUUAGGGUUUGAUUAUGGCUCAGAUUGAACGCUGGCGGCAGGCCUAACACAUGCAAGUCGAGCGGUAACAGGAGAAAGCUUGCUUUCUUGCUGACGAGCGGCGGACGGGUGAGUAAUGUAUGGGGAUCUGCCCGAUAGAGGGGGAUAACUACUGGAAACGGUGGCUAAUACCGCAUAAUGUCUACGGACCAAAGCAGGGGCUCUUCGGACCUUGCACUAUCGGAUGAACCCAUAUGGGAUUAGCUAGUAGGUGGGGUAAAGGCUCACCUAGGCGACGAUCUCUAGCUGGUCUGAGAGGAUGAUCAGCCACACUGGGACUGAGACACGGCCCAGACUCCUACGGGAGGCAGCAGUGGGGAAUAUUGCACAAUGGGCGCAAGCCUGAUGCAGCCAUGCCGCGUGUAUGAAGAAGGCCUUAGGGUUGUAAAGUACUUUCAGCGGGGAGGAAGGUGAUAAGGUUAAUACCCUUGUCAAUUGACGUUACCCGCANAAGAAGCACCGGCUAACUCCGUGCCANCANCCGCGGUAAUACGGAGGGUGCAAGCGUUAAUC